GGCCGCGAACGCUCGGCGGCGCUGCCCAUGGCCCAGUCCGAGAGCCGAUUCGGGGCGCCCGACGGGCUGGACCGCUUCGCGGCUCAGCUAAUAUCACCAAGCUGUGAUUGACUGAGGAAAUGUCUGUGAGCUCCUGUUUACUGACAAUUGAUCUUGUACCAGAGGGUCAGCAGAGCUCCUCUUUUUGAUGGGCUGCUUGAGGCCCAGAGAGGAAAGAAGUGCUUUUAAGAGUCAAGAUUUAAAUAUCAGCUCUUCUCUUUUGCCUCUUUGCUUCCUGGCCACCAUGACAUGAGCAGCUUUUCUCCACCAGACCCUUCCACCGUGCCGUUUCUGCCUCGGCUCUGGUGACCAUAGACUGAAACCACUAAAACUGUGUGCCAAAAUAAACCUCCUCUUCAAGUUGUGGGUGUCAUGUAUUUUAUCCUGGAGGCAGAAAGCUGACCAUACAGACCGGAAGUGUUCGUUUCCAUCUCUACCUUUCCAUUUGCACAGGGGCUCCUUGGGGAGGGUUCUCAUUUUGGUCCUAUGUUACUCACCAAGGCCCCACCAAGCCUGCACAUAGCAGGCCUGGCCACUGAGUCCUGAGCAAGUAACAUGUGCCUCUUGGGGAAAUGUUGAGUUUGCUAAUUUUUACCAUGUUUGGAAGAGAAAAAGGAGGAUAGUUAUUGUAAGACGAAAUCUUAGAACCUAAUUUAGUUAAGGAAAACUAAAGAAAGCCCAUCUAGAAAUCUCAUGAUAAUUUCUAAAGCAUCAUUUCACUUGAAUUCAGUGUACUGCGUUAGUCAGCUUUCCAUGACUGUGAUAAAAUACUGGAGCUAAUCAACUUUAAAAGAGGGAAGGCUUAUAUUGGCUUAUAGUUUUGCAGAUUUCAAUCCAUGGUCCAUUGGCUGGCUGCUUUGGGGCCUGUGGCAAGACAGUGCAUCAAGGCAGGAGUAUGUGGCAGGGGAAGAUGUACAUCUCCUGGCAGCUAGGAAGCAAAGAGAGAAAGAAAGCAGCAUCCCAAAGUACUCUUUGAGGACAUGGCCCCAGGGGCCUAAUGCCUCCUAUUGGGACUACCUCCUAAUGUUUCCCUAACUCUCACUAGUGCCAUGGUCUAAGGAGCAAGUUUUUAAGCCAUAGACCAUGAGGACACUUACCCAAACGUCUCAUUUAGUUGCUUUCUGUGGCAUAGUGGACCUCAGUGACUCUCCCAGAUUGAUACUAAUCUGGAACAGAAAGCCUGAAUGUUCAUGCCAGCUUGUUGGAUGCAUAAAUGUGGUUGUUACAGCAAAAAAAGCAAUGGGACUGACCAAGGAGGUCGAGGUCAGUUAUAUCCUUUAGAUUCUUCUCAAAAUUUAUGCUCAUGAAAUCAUCAUUUAGCUUGAAAAUUUGCAGGGUCUUGAAGCAUGUGUUAAGCUUCAUUAAUAAUGCAUUGCUGGCCUUAAGAAGGUGUGACAGUAGCAGGAAAUCUGAAAACCUCAGCUCAGUGAUCACACGUGCCGGAGAGUUUCUGCAGCAGGUUCCUCUAGGGGGGCUGGCAUCGGUGCUCCAUGAGUGAAACCUCUUCGGUCCUGUCCUAUCCUGGGGUCACUGCAGAAGAUGGAGAAGCCUGUAAAAGCCCAUGGCUGGCAGGCUGCUUCUGUCCUUCCCCAUGGCCCUGCUCUCCCUCCUUAUCUACUAAGAGUUAGGGGAAGAAACACAGCAUUUUUACACCGUCUUUGCUUUCAUUUUGAAACACAAAACAAACCAUUUCCAAAUGUAGCUCUCUUACAGCUUUUCUGAUCCUAUCACACAUUAAUAGGACAAAUUCUAUAGUAUAAUUGCCUCCUUUUAAUUUAUUAAUCUCCUCCCCCACACGUGCGCACACCACACACACACACUGUACCCUGUGUGGGCUCAAAUUGUCUGAGAAGGGACAGGCUGGAUGUGGAUUUGUCUCCGAUUCCCUAGUGCCUGAUACACAGCAUGUCUAUUCCGGUCUUGACACUGAAUUGUAGAAAUUCCGGUCUGAUCAUCUGGUUUUUGCAUUCCUGAUAUUCAUGAAAGGUUGCUUUUCUGUUUGUUUAGGAAGGACUUGAGCACUGUAAGUGGUAAGAACCAGGAUGCUGGGCCCAUGAGACAGCUCUUAGUCCCUCCCUGCUAUCCUAAGCAAUUCUAUUCCUUCCCAAGGGGGGGCGGGUACUGGGGUCUGAACCCACAGCCUUACACAUGCUAAGCUCAUGCUCCACCACUCAGCUCCCCAGGCCUCACUGGCAAACUUCCAGACCUCUCCGAAGGAGACAAAAGCCCUAGAGUAAACUACUUCCACCCAGCCUAGAAGGUCAUUAACCCGACCUGUGGAGACAGAGGGACUGAAAUUUUUGUACCACAGGCACAAUCCUUUUGUCCCUGCCUGAAGCUGAAACGCUUCUUCUAAUAGAGUCACUGAGAAACUUUUAUAUAAUGCUUGCAUUAGUCAAUUUUGAGUGCCGUAACAAAGUAUGGUAACCUUGGUGGGUUAAUAUCAGAAGUUUAUUUUUCACAGUUCUGGAGGCUGAGAAGUCAGAGGUCAGAGGGCCGCCACAGGUGGGUUUUGGUGAGGUCCCUCUGGGUACAGAUUGCCAAAUUUUCAUGGUAUUCUUAUGUGGGGGAAAGCGAAUGAGCUGGCUCUGGGAGCUCUUCCUAAGGGCCGUAAUCCCAGCCCUGAGGGUGCCACUUUGUGAUCUGAUCCCCUCCCAGCAGUGUCCCAGUGGGGUUAGAUUUCAGUAUAUGAAUUGUGGAGGAACACAAAGAUUCGGUUCCAUCUGAGUCUACUUCUGCUGCUGGAACCAAAUACCUAGGACGGGUAGAUUUCCAUGAACAGAAAUGUUUCCUGCAGGCAAGAGCUGAUGUGUGACAAGGGCUGUUAUGCUGAGUAGUCAUCCCAUGGCAAAGGGGGGAUGGGCCAGAGAAAGAGGAGUAGAGGCUGUACCAGAGGCGUGGCUGCAUUACUGAACAUGGAACUGCCCUAACCGAACACCUCCCCUUUAGGCACCCUCUCCCGGGGCUGCAUUGGGAAUUAGCGUUACUUGGUUUUUGGCAGACACUUUCAAACCACAGCAUGUGCAGAACAAUGCAGACCUCCUCCUCCUCCGGCACCCAUCUUAUUUUGUUCCUGUAAUGACUAAGCACCUUCUUUAGAUUCUUACCUUGGCUAACUGAUCUACCUCUUCCUCAGGUCCUAGGUUUAAUUAAUAUUCACUGAAUGAGUGCUAAAUAUAAUCUGUAUGGAAUGCGAGUAGCAACCACAGUGGGAGAGACCCUACCCAAGGAAGGAGUCUUUUUUUCCUAUUCGAGGUAACAUCAUUCCCCUAACACCCCCUAGCAAUAAGACUCUUAUCUAGCAGCAUAGAAAUUCGAUAUAUUUUUCUAUCUUUAACUUAGGAAAUGUCAGAUGAAUUGUGGAACAAGUGACAAGUCUCUGUGGAUCAUUUUGAGCAGUAAAAGUCAGUAUUUUGUUCAGCGUUUUAGAAAAUUGCUAAGACAAAUAUAUUUCUUAAUUCUCUAUAGCUUUUACUUUUAAGAUGCAUGUCAAGAGAUCAUAGCGUAUAUUUCUGCAUUAUUUCCUUUGUAAACAGAGGCUUAGAGUAUUUCUUCAUCAAGCUGAAGGUCGCAGGGCAGUGAGGGCAGAACUCGGGACUGGAUGCCAGCUUCUGACUCCUGGACUCCCACUCAGCCCUCUCCUGCAUUGGGCCUUUCAAGCAGUGAAGACUUUGUAGAGAUGCCUUUUGUGUUCCUGAGAUUGGGUUAGUGAUUUUGAUGACCUAAAUAGAUCCCUUGUCACCUGCAGCACUGGGGAUUAAGUAGGUGACAAUGGCUGACUCUCCCUGAGGGUUUCCACACCGCAGUUCCAGUUCUCAGAACAAUCCUACUCUUCUUGCCACUCCCACAUUUCAGAUAAGAAACCCAGGCUGCUCUUGGUCAUGCAGAGGGAAUGCAGUGUGGAGGGAGGAUUCAGUCUCCUGUGCCUAACCACCAAUCCCGCUCCUCUGAGCUUCUGUAACUCACCUCCAUACAUCCAGAAUUGCUCUGCUAGACACCACCUUGUUUCACCUAUGUUAAGUAGUAAGAAACAAUUUUGCAAGACCUUUACACUGACCUGCAUCACCAGCCCAUGUUUUUAUUGCUUAUUUUGAAACAGGCUCUUGCUAAGUUGCCCAAGCUGCCAUCCAAGUUGUGCCUCAGCCUCAAAGAGUGCUGGGAUUACAGGCUUGAGCACAGACAGCGUAUCUCUGAAACGUGCAAAACAUAAGUUAGAAAGAAAGACUGCCAAGGCUCACGAUGAGCUAACUUGAAACACGCCAAUUGAGCUGAAGAUGCUGCAGUUGUAAUAAAAGAUAAAGAGAGAUCUCAUAGUGUUAUGUUGGGGGUAAGAUCUGGGUAUUGUGGUAAAUUGGAUAGAUUACAUGGCCUUUAACUAUCUCAAGAUGAGCUAGACAAGGGAGCAGGUGUCCCUUGCUUAAAGAAAAUGUAUUAUGGAUAUAAGAAAGUGUCGCACGUCUGAAACCCCAGCACUGGGAGCCUAAGACAGGGACAUCACAAGUUCAAGCCCAGCCUGGACAAUGUAGUGGGUUAGUGAGAACCUGUCUCAAAAAAAAAGAAUCUUAAUGGAGAAAUAAAAUUGAAGCUUGCAGCAGCGGCAAAUAGGAUACUAAUUAAAUUUAUAGAAUCCAAAGCAUCUGAAUAAAGAAAUAUCGAACUUGCAUAGCAUUUCAACUUAUUUUUAAGUGAGGGACACGUGGAAAUGACAGCGGUGUAUGUACACAUUUGGGGGCCGAGGAAAGAAUCGUGCACUGUUGUUUUCCUUAGUGUUAUCACAUAAACAGCAAACACAUUUAUUCAAGAAAGGGAAAACAUGGCCAGUACGAAGCGCAGCCUGUGGUGCCCUGGUCACUGUGCCCAGUCAGGUCCCAACUCCUUGCGGGCCUGUUUGUGUCUUAGCCUCUGCUCGCUUCCUGGUUCAUUUCACGGUGCCUGGCAAUCCCAAGGGUGCCUGACUUGGGAUGGUUUCACGUAGCCAUUCUUCCACUUUAUGAAGGUGCAGAAGUGAGAUGCCUGUGUAGGAACCAUGUUUUGAACUGCGAGCACCUUCUGGUCCAGCAGUGUUCGGUCUCAUUUCUGUCUGAGCUGCUGGGCAACACCACGGAGCUGGAGCUCAGUGCUCUGGACACAAGGAACAGCUGCCACCCCGAGCCGCCGUGCUGUGACGUUCAGUUGGUUACGGGUGUUUGGUGCAUUUUUAAAUCACAGGCUUUCCAACGGCCAUGUCUGGCUGUCACCCGUCGUAAAUCCCAGAGUAUGUGUUCAAUGAACCCCGAUGAGCCAAUCACACAAAUAAUCAGAUAUCUCUUGGGGGCUCUGUGGUAGAGCACAUUCCCUACCUGUGUGAGACCACAGGUUCCAUUCCUAGCAAGGAAACAGAAAUCUCUUAGCAGUUUUCAAGCUUUCCCAUUAACUCCCCCCGGACCCCGUUAGAACCAUCUGUAGUGAAGUGGCUUUGCUAGACUCCGAGCUCAGAACCCUGUUUGUCAUUCUUCUGUGUGUCUAAGUUCCUCUGCACUCCCUGGACUCUGUCCCCAGAACAGACAGAAGGGAAGCUGGGGUUUCUGAGGCGAGGACUCCAGAUUCCUGCAGCCUUGUCUCCAGGAACACCUGUCGUAGCUGUGUGGCCACGGCAAAGCCCAGCUCCAGCCAGGGCUUCCACCUCACCAAGCCGCAGCUCCUGCUGGGGACCAUUCUGGAAGGCCUGUGCCUGGGAGACUUUGAGCGCAGUGCUGGGCGUGGACAUCACCUGCCCUGUGGCCGCCAACCUGACGCUCCCUGCUCCUCUGCCAGCUCUGUCUCUGGCUGGGCGCUCAUGGGGCUGCACUGUGCACAUCUCCUCUGCACUCAGUGUUUGCCUCCUCCCACGUGUGUCUUCCACAUUGCUCUCUGAGAACAGCACUGGUUGCUCAGCGCAGCCUUAGGCACCCUGUCGACACCUUGUAAAAGUGCUCACCUGUGGGUGCAUGGAGACCUUAGGCAUCGGUCCUGCCAGGCUUGCUCUGUAAUUUUUAAAAAGUUUUCUCUUAUCUUCUCCUUAUUUGGUAACUAAUGUCCAUUGUUGACAUUAAUAAAAAUCAGGACAACACUUAAAAAUGCAUAGUUGAAUCUUGAGAAAUAGGAAGACCAGACCACCCUGGUCCCUGGUCUCCAACAGCAUCUGCCAGAAUCUGCCUAGCUGGCUCUUCGCAUGCAGCACGUGCACGGCUGCUUGCCAGGGCUGCACCAGCCAACUGGCUUCAUGUGUGAGGUCACGUGGCUGGAUCCAGCAGGCAGUUCUGUGCUUGUACAGCAGAAGGGUCCCAGACCAAUGCAUUCUCUAUUGUCGUUUUUCGGCUGGCCUUGUCAGCUGAGCUGCCAUAAGCCAAUGUCCUAGGGUAGGGGUUCAGCAGUAGCCAUUUAGUUCUCACAGGUCUGCAGGCCGGAAGACCAAUAUGGAGGCAUGGGCAUAUGGUUCCAGCUGAGAGUCUCUUCUGGGCAUGUAGAUGGCUGCCCUCUCUUUGUAUCUUUCCAUGGUGAGGAGAGCGAGCUCUGGUCUUUUCCUUUUCUUGCAAAGACACUAAACCUUUCACAUUAGGCUCCAACCACAUGACCUCAUCUAAACCUACUCACCUUUCGAAAUCUCUGCCUCCAAAUACUGUGACAUAGUGGGGUAAGCCUUCAACAGAUGGAUAUUGGAGGACACAAAUACUCAGUCCAUUUUAGGCUGGUUCAGACAAUCAGGCAAAUCCUUCCUGCAUCUCUGUCCAUCCAGGUACAGACUGAUGUACUUCGGUUUGCGUGGAUAUUUUUCCAGCUGUGAACUAUUCUAAUCUCCCUAAUCCAGAUCCAAAAAGCAGUGCAGAUGUCCAUGUGUUUGGGCACAGGGAUCAGGAGACCUUGCUAUCCUACCCCGUUCAGAAUCUACUUACUUACCUGACCUUUGGGUUCUCAUUCCCCUACCUCAGCUUCCCUUUCUGCAAAAUAAUUAGACAGAAUAAGAUGACACAUGGCCCUUUUGCUUCCAGUGCCCUGUGUCCCCUCCUGGCCAUUUCUAGGGAGACACAUGGAAUUCUCCUGGAUAUUGAAGCCAUGGGCCCCAGCCAGUGAUGCCCCUGCAGCUGAGGUAGCACCUGCCAGAGGAGGUGGAGUCAUCCCUGGGGCAGAACCAAAGCCACACCCAGCAGAGUGGGCUGUGGCAGCACCGCUCUGCCUCCUGUCUGCAGCAGAGCCUGUUUCCACUCAGCUGCACGAAGUAAUGGGAGAGGCCCUGUCCGCCCUCCUGUCACGGAGCACUGCCUGUGCCAGUGUGUUUCUGAGUCUAAUGAAGGAUUUAUUUAGGUCACCACUGCCUUCUGAGCCCAGCAACACAGACAAAGCUUGAAGCACGUUUCGGAGGAGCAGCUCCACCUCCUUGCCUGGGGCUCACCAAGGCGCACACCUGCCGCUCAUCAUUCAUUUAGGAGGGGCUGGGAAGGGCCUCUUCUGCCCCUCCACGAGCACAGAGCCUGCUUCGCUUCGGUGUGUCACUUCCUUUCCUCCUUGAGCCUCUGUCUGGUUGAGUCACUGCGGUACUCUGGACUGUGAACAAAUGUGUUUGACUAAUUAUCAUCCCUGCAUCCCAUUUAUACCAUUCAGCAUUUUAGGGACAAAAAUAGCUACCAUGAUUGGAAGACUUGCCAUGGGCCAGACAGGGUGGUACAGCCCAAGUAUUCGGAUAUGCUCUUUUACUUAAUCCUUACAAUAAAUACAUACGGCCAGUGUAUUUGAACUCAGGCUUUGGGUUUCAAGGCUGUUUAGUGGGUUUUAAAUUACAGGGUUGAUAUCUGAGCCCGGAUUUUUGACUGAAAUGCUCUGAUUCCAGCAUCGCCUUCUCUGCCCUUCUUCCUAUAAUACCACCUCUGGGACCAGACUGACUUCCCCCUUUGUUGUUUACCAGGAUUGCUUUUAAUCCUGGAAUUAAAAACAAUCCCAACCACAGUAAGAAACUACCCAAAAAACAAAGAACACCUCUUUUAAGGGCUGAGAUAAUCAGAAUCUGACUGGGUGUCCACAUUCCGAACUCAUUUGAGGACUAUAGGUGGAUAGGUAGGCUCCUCUGAGAGCUUCUUAGGAAUGCCGGUUCUGAGGUCUCUCCCCAGACCUCCUGCAAUAAAAUCAGCCUUUUGAAUUGGAUCUCCAGGCGACUGUGCUGUGCGUAUCCUGCUUGGCAACACUGUGCUCAGUGACUGUAACAUGCAGCCUGAACUCCUGGGAGGGAAGCAAGAGGCGCCUCCCUCUGAACUGUUGAUCUGGAUUCCUGGGCCUCAUCUUCCACCCAGUGUGGAAAAUGAUGCUGUGUAGCUUGACGUCAGGCUACCCCAAGGAGCAGGCUACAUUUACCGUUCUUAUUUUGCCAUGGAGCCCUCAGAGGCUCCAAGAUGACACUGAGAUAAUAAAUCUCUGGGCCCAAAUCCCUGCUCCUGCAAGGACGUCCUGCUGCCUUCCUUGGUCUGCACAGGCAUCUCCUCCCUUCAUUCCUACAGUGUGGUGUUUCUUAUCCAGCUAAUCCUUUGCAACAUGGAUCUCCUAGCAUUGCUGAGCAUCGCAGGGGGCAUAGGGGCAUAGCAUACCUGGAAGAGCUGCCUUCCAAGAGUCUUCAUUUUUUUCAGUGGGGAAAUGGGGUCUACAACACUUCUAUUUUGCCCCCAUGGUAAAUGUGGUCCAAGGAACCUUAUUAAGAUUAUGAGAACUAAGCUUUGUUCCUUUCUACCCUGAGCUUGUCCCACCCCAUCCCACUUCACAGCAAUGACCAUGAGACCAACCGAACCACAGUGAAUGUCAAUAUUUGUUGAAGUGUCAUGUAUGUAUAGGCAAUUUCAAGAAAAUAAAUAUUUAUGCAGGUCUUAAAAUAUCAAUGUCCUUUCAUAGACUGACAGGCACAAGCUGGAGCCGUUUCCUCUUUCUUGAUUUCCAAGAUGACCUUCGGAGGAUGGAAAUUUGACACCACAGCAACAGGCUAUUAAAUGAUUGUGCAAACAUGAACAUGAAGACAUUUUUUGACUCUUAGAGAUGAGCAAAUAACCUUACACUUUGGAGUGCUCAGAAUUUCAGCUGCAUAAAAAAAAAAAAUGACACUUCUGUUGUUCACACUGUCAUUACCCAGAAAGUUAAAUCACUCCGUACUUUGGGAUGCUUGGAAAGAAGCAGUUUUUGCAUAGCAGCAUAACAGAUUCACACUUUCUGCUAUCUUAUCAUGCUUUUGCGCAAGCUCCUCCCUCUGCCUGGAAUGCACUCUCCACUUCCCAUGGAGAAGCAGCCCUGUUCAGAGGAGGAAAAAACACACAAAGGGCUUUGGAGAUGGUCCAUGGAAUUUUGGUUUUGAUAUAGUCCUUCCUGGUGCUGUGAUCCUGGGGAGGCCAUUUAACCCUGACAGCAUGUUUCCAAGUCUUUCCUGGGGACAAAGGCAGGCCAUGACUGUUGACUCUACUGGGUGCUAGGCACUGUGCUGCCUGUUUAGCAUGUGUGAUCUUAUUUAAUGGUGGAGUCACCUGUAUGAAGAAGGUGUAAGCUUAUUCUAUAAAAUGGCACACUGAGCCCCUCAGAAGGAAGAAACUUAGCUGAGGUCAGUUAGCUGUAACAAUUCCAACUUGUAUCUGUCUGACUAAAAAAGCUUCUUUGCUUUGCUUUUUUCCUCCUACUUUUCACCACCUUUUCAUGGCUUAUAAAUAUAAAAUUAAAUGGAAACAACCAUCUCUCAGUAGUGUUGUGAGUCUCAGAAGAGGGAAUUGAUAUGCAAGUGCUUACUGCCCGGUGCACAGUGGGUGCUCAGCACGCAAUCUCUUCUUUUCCAUCUCUUGUUAAAGGCAUAGAUGACUUGUGGCCAGGUGUUUUGAGGGUCCGUGCUCCCCUAGAGGAGAUCCUUGGCUGCACCACCUGUGCUGCCACCUCUCUCUUCCAGGGGCUGUCACUGCCCUGUGGAUGGAAGGAGGUCGGCAUCACGGUCCCUGAUGUGCUCAGUUUACCUUUUGAGAAACAUUCCAGUUACUUCAUUUGAUCCAUGAGUAAGUUCCAGCAUUGAGACUGAGAGAAUAUAUUACCGUUAAUUACGUUUGAAAUCUAGGUCAAGGUGUGAAUUAUAUAAUAAGGAAACUUAUGGGAAAAAAUAAAAUAUUUUGAAGAGAUAUUUCAUAGCUUCCCCUCCCUUUUUUUAUUUUCAUUUUUUUUUGUACCAGGGAUUGAACUCAGAACAUGGUGUUUGUGAGGCAGGCGGCAGAACCACUGAGCUAAGUUCCCAGCCCUCCCCUCCUUUUUAAUUAAAAUAUUUUCUAGACUUUUAGGUGAUGUUGUCCAAUCACCUAAAGAAAAGUUGAAUACCCCUUUUCAUAUCUGGUCUCUGCUCGACUCUCUAGGGAAUGAAGACUACCUUUUGACAAAAUCUUUUUCAAAGACAAUUGAAAUAAGUUCUUCUUUCUUUAAAUUAAAGACUUUCCUCAGCAACUCCUAGCUACGGGCCUACCUGUCUACUGCAUUUGACAAGUCUAUGGAGCAAAUGGAUCUCUAGUACCUACCAUGUGCCAGACAUCAGUGGUGCCAGGGGCUGGGGGUGCAGCAGAGGGAGAUGAGACACCCACAAGGAGGCUGGACAAUGUGCAGACAGUAAACAUGCAUAGCAUGUGAGCAGUGUAACGUGAUUGUAUGAAAGAAAGUGAUUAGCAAGGAAAGGUGGGCUCAUGCUCUGAGGAAAGCUGGCAUUUGAAAUACAUCUGAAUGACAAGAAAGAGCCAGCCUCAGGAAUCCCAGGGCACAGCUUCCUGGAAAGGGAAAGCAGCAGUGGCGAGGCCCCAAAGCUGGGAUGAUCCUGGAGUAUCAGAAGGGACAGAAAAGCAAGUGAGGCUGAGCUUGGCUGAUGGAGCACCGAUGAAGGACUGAGGAGGAGGUGGGUUUUCCCAGCUUGGAAAGGAGUUUUCGUUUAAUUCCAUGCUUAAGAGCAGUUUCCAAGUGGUAAAUUCUGUAGCCUCUCCUUGGGCUCUUUUGCCUGGCAAAAGUUGUUGUGGUCAACAACUUCGCAGUGGGACCCAAGGAAACCCACUGUCCCUGACACAGACAGAGAGAACCCUGUCUUGAAUUCUUAGAACUCCACCUUGGUUUGGCCCCCGCAGUGCCCAGAAGAAAUAAGAGAAAGUAAGGGGUGGUUAGAUCUCCCUUUGGGACCUAUUAGCCCUUCUACAAAAGGAAAGAGGGUUCAUUUUGCUCUUCUAGCAAGCCUGGGCCUUCAGAGGAAUUCUGUGCCUCAUCCAAGAAUUGGUACCAGGAAUGAAUGUCCAACAGAGCAGAAGAAUCAGACCAAGGGGCCCAGUUACCAAAAAUCAAACACAGGCAAUUCUUGGUUAAGAAUCAGCCCACGGGGCCUGCUGACUAUUUGCACACUACUUUUACUGAUGUUUAGACAUCAGUAGCAGGUUUAGACAUCAGGCUCUGACAGACAGGAAAGUGAAGGCCCUGUCUUUGCCUACUCAGACCGAGUUUGAUCCCCUCACUGCCUCUGGUUUUCCAGGCACUGCAUUCCUGCGAGCCUGCCUUUCCUGUAGUCAUGGUAGUUCUUCUGUGGCUUCCAGUGAGGAGAACAGGCAGCUCAGUCUGUGAGUAGCAGGUGUCAGAGAAGGGAGCAGUCACUGUUCCUGCCGAGGGACAAGGCCCCCACCGCAGGCAUGGACAGCUCCAUGUCUGGCCUUGACGGCUGUGGGUCCCCACUUUCAUGAAAUCACAUGUGUUCAGCGUUACCUGGUUCAUUUCCUGUGAGAGAAUAAUGAAUUUACCAUGAGGGAGAAUAAAGAAUUUCUUUGCGAUGCCUGCAGGUUCGAACUUGCCUUCCUGGUCCUUUUCCUGCUUGGAAACUCUUCUGCUGUGAGUAGGGAGGGAAUCUUGAUUUACAGGGAGAGCUUUCCACAUUGAAUGAGCUUUCGGAGUUGGACACAGGGGUGCUUUCUUGCAAUCCUAGCUCUCUGGGAGGCUGAAGCAGGAGGAGGGUCGUAAGUCAGAGCCCAACCUGGGCAACUCAGUGACUUGGUGAGAUCCUAUCUUUAAAAGAAAAAAGGCUGGGAAUGUAGUUCAGUGCGGAGGACCUGGGUUCAAUCUGCAAAGGCCCUGGAGUUCAAUCUCCAGCACUGGCAAAAAAAGAAAGAAAAAAUUUUUUAAAAAAUUUAAAAGGGAGCUUUCAAAUGAAAGACGACAACUCUUCUCAGUGCCUUGUGGGGAUGAGGGCAGUGUGUGCUGAAAGGAGAAAUAUAUACGCACAGUGCUGGAUUUCCUAGGCAUGGUACAAUGCCAGAUAUCUCAUUAAUUUUGUAUAUUGAUUAUACGUUAGAGCCGUGAAGUUUGCAUAUAUUGGGUUACAUGUUUUUUUAAUGUGACUCCUGGAAAAUUCCCCUGUGCUCACCUUAUACAUCUGUUGGACAACCCUGAUACAUACUGUCUCCUUUCAAUCUCAAAGGAAGUCUUUGAGGCAGGUAGAAAUGUUGCCAUUUUACAGACGAGUAAACUGAGGCUCAGAGAGGCUCCAUCACUAUGACUAAAGUCAGCACCAGAAGCAGAACUAGCACUGCACACCUCUGCAGUAGCUUCUGACCCGUCCGCGGAACAGAAGUGAAGAAGGACAUGGACUCCGUGCUGCAUGUACCCGUGUGUCAGCUCCUCCUGGAGUUGGUGGCCAAGGAAAUGUCACUGCUGGACACAUUUACCUGGGUCUUUCCUCUUUUGGAACCCACAGCACUGUUAUUAUUUGCACUGAGACACUUCCUUAGAAGCCAGGGUACAGGUUCAGAAUUCAGUACUCCCAAGUUCCAGGCCCGAGUUUCUGUACAGCUGUGGGCAGUCAUCUCAGGGCCUCCUUGCCGCAGAAUGGGAAGGCGAGGGCUGUCCUACAUUCUCAUGUUUCAAGGCCCACUGUCAAGCUCAAGAUGGACCGGUUGACUGGCUUAUAGGUUCAUGUGAACUUGGGGAUCUUUUUUUCCUGACAGUGCUACUAAAAGGCCUAGACAUUCUGGCUAUGCCACCAGGAAGCCCAAAUUAUCCAGGAGUUGGCUCCCAAUGGCCACUGCGUAUGUGUACAACAUUGUAUUUCAUAUGUUAAUAUACUACAUAUGUUAACAUAUGGUGUGUUAUAUAUAUUUACAUAUGCAUGCACACAGCCCCUACACAUAAAUAUGUCAUGCGUGCCCAUAAGACUUGAGCUAAUUUUUCCCCAUAUACCUCAGAUGUUUUGGGAAUGAAAAAGGUUUAGACAUCAGUAAAUUUAUUUUUUGAAAAUAUUAAAAUAGAAGCAAGGAAUUUAAACUACUAACUGCCCAGUUUCUUUUUCCUUCCUUUUUUUUU